CCUACGGGUGGCAGCAGUGGGGAAUAUUGCACAAUGGGGGAAACCCUGAUGCAGCGACGCCGCGUGAGUGAAGAAGUAUCUCGGUACGUAAAGCUCUAUCAGCAGGGAAGAAAAUGACGGUACCUGACUAAGAAGCCCCGGCUAACUACGUGCCAGCAUCCGCGGGAUUCCGUAGGGGGCAAGCGUUAUCCGGAUUUACUGGGUGUAAAGGGAGCGUAGACGGCAGCACAAGUCUGGAGUGAAAUACCGGGGCUUAACCCCGGAACUGCUUUGGAAACUGUGAGGCUGGAGUGCAGGAGGGGUAAGCGGAAUUCGUAGUGUAGCGGUGAAAUGCGUAGAUAUUAGGAGGAACACCGGUGGCGAAGGCGGCAUACUGGACUGUAACUGACGUUGAGGCUCGAAAGCGUGGGGAGCAAACAGGAUUAGAUACCCGAGUAGUC
rnacentral:rRNA from 1 species